CGUGCCCACAGUCUCGUCCAGAGCCUCGCCUCCCUGUUCUUCGCCUGCGCCACACUUCUCCGCCCCGGCAUCUUGUCCAAGGGCCCGUCGGCUCAAGUGGUAGCAAUACGCCUGCCGGAAACAUCGGGAAAAGCCUCAUCUUCGCCGUAAUCGUUGGAUCACAUCUCGAAAACUUUGCGUUCGGUUAUAUUUCUUGGUGAAGGAUGUAAUGAAGAAGGAGCUUUCUUUGUGCAAGGAGGGAGACAUGAUCAUACAUUAGCUGACAGAGUUGGCUAGCAAAGAAUAACUAUGUCUGCUUGUUGUUGAUGAGAGUUCCCAUUUACUUGGGAUCUCUACAGAUACAAUAUCUCUGGCACAUAAUCAAUGCGAGUGAGUGCAGCUAUCUUCACCCUCACAGUUUGUGAGAUGUGCAACAGAUGGAAUUACCCCUGUCAGCAGUGCAAUUCUUACCUGUCAUCAAUGACCACAACAUUUUGUUGAUAUCAUCACCUUGCAUGGAGUGGUUUCAGCAGGUUUGUGAACUUAACCUUAACCUUAACCUUAGCAGGUUUGUCAUCAAUGACCCUAAACCUUUUGUUCUUUAACAUCCAUUAAUAUCUUCUAUGGUGUUGAUGUAUCUCAGCUUGCCCAGCAGUAGCAAAGGGGUGUAUAGACAAUAUUUACUUCCUUUUUUUUUUCUUUCAAAGCAAUUUGUUUCACUAUCUUUGCUGAUGUAAUAUGGAUCUACAAAGGCAUUUAUUACACUUUGUAAUUUGCACAUGUCAUGCAUGUAAAAAUGAAUGACUUUUGUGUUUACAAAAGAAUAGAGCACAUCAAAGAGGUUAUGCAAUAUAAAUACAUGAUAACUGCCUAACUUUUGAUUAUCUGUGAAUAUUUAAAUAUACUGGGCAGAAGGAAAAUGCCAUAGCAUUUUAAAAUCCAUUAAUUUUUUACUAUCCACACAGUAUAUUUAAAUGUACUGUGUGCAUCAUUCUCAUUUCUUUUCUGUUUCUUUCUUUUUUAGUAUAUAUCUAUUUCAAAGUAGGAACUAAUUAAUAAGAGAAAGAAUACCCUCACCAUGUAAAAUCUUUUUCGGUUCAGGAGGAUAGCAUAUAUGAAACGUGGGAAAUACAUGAGCUAAACUGUUGUAUAGAGUGUAUACUGGAAUCAAGAUUCAGCCUAGGCUUUAAUCUCUAUGUUGGU